GAUGAACGCUGGCGGCGUGCCUAAUACAUGCAAGUCGAGCGAACAGAUGAGGAGCUUGCUCCUCUGACGUUAGCGGCGGACGUGUGUGUAACACGUGUAUAACCCACCUAUAUGUCUGGGAUCACUUCGGGAAACCGGCGCUAUUACCGGAUAAUCUAUUGAACCGCAUGGUUCAUUAGUGAAAUACGGUUUUGCUGUCUCUUAUAGAUGGAUCCGCGCCGCAUUAGCUAGUUGGUAAGGUAACGGCUUACCAAGGCAACGAUGCGUAGCCGACCUGAGAGGGUGAUCGGCCACACUGGAAGGGAGACACGGACCAGAGGCCUACGGGAGGCAGCAGUAGGGAAGAGGACGCAAUGGGCGAAAGCAUGACGGAGCAAGGCCGCGUGAGAGAUGAAGGUGUUGGGAUCGUAAAACUGUGUUAUUAGGGAAGAACAAAUGUGUAAGGAACUAUGCACGUAUUGACGGUAACGAAUCAGAAAGCAACGGCUAACUACGUG
rnacentral:rRNA from 1 species